CGGAAACGAAAACCUAAUUGCCCUUCGAAUUCUUCUACCGCUCUCGAAUUCAUAUGCAUCUCCUUUAAUUUGUCUCCGAUACCAAUUCUCUCCGAAUUUGAUCAACUUCCAGCUUCGCAUUAUCUGGUUUUUUUAUUUUUAUUUUUUGGUUGAAUUUUGGUUUUCGAUAUGAUCGGCGUCGUGAUUGAUUGUUGAAUGAGAGAGGAGUAGUUUGAUUGAGGGAUUUGCUUCACUUUUUCUGGGAUUAUGAAUUGAUUUUUGCAAAUUAUCUGCAAAAUGAGCACGCGAAAGCAAGUGACGAUGCGGGACCUUGUUGAGGAAGCGAAGAAGCGGAUUUUGUUCUUGGUCAUAUGCGUCGUUGGAUUGUCCUAUCUCAUGUCCCUGACAAGCUCCUCUGUUUGGGUCAACUUGCCUGUUGCUGCCGCCUUAAUCGUCCUCCUUCGUUUUCUCUCUCUUGAUUAUGACAUGCAAAGAAAAGCUGUGACAUAUAAUAGCAAAUCUGCCACAGAAAAUAGAUCUUCACAAAGGAAACCUGUUGAUUGUACUAAAAUUAUUGAAAAGUCUGAUUGGAGAAGGAGAGUGAACUCUCCUGUUGUUGAGGAUGCUAUAGAUCAUUUUACCAGACAUAUAGUGUCUGAAUGGGUAACGGAUCUAUGGUACUCUCGCUUAACACCUGAUAAAGAAGGGCCAGAGGAACUGGUGCACAUCAUGAAUGGUGUUCUUGGAGAAAUUUCAGCUCGAGUAAGGAAUAUAAAUCUUAUUGAUCUUCUGACAAGGGAUAUUAUUAGUGUCUUAUGCACCCACUUGGAGCUUUUUCGUGCUACUCAAGCUAAGAUUGAGAAGAAACAAACAGAAUCACUGACUGUUGAAGACCAAGACAAGGAGAUAGGGGCUGUCCUGGCUGCUGAGAACAAAUUGCACCCUGCUUUGUUUUCUGCUGAAGCAGAGCAUAAGGUCUUGCAGCACCUGAUGCAUGGUCUCAUAUCUUUCACAUUCAAGCCUGAAGAUCUGCAGUGCUCCUUUUUUCGUCUUACUACUAGAGAACUCCUUGCUUGUGCAGUAAUACGACCAGUCUUGAACUUAGCCAGCCCAAGGUUCAUCAACGAAAGGAUUGAAUCAGUUGUUAUUUCUAUGACAAAGGCUAAUAAAAGAGUUACUGCCGCACAAGAAGCAUCUCAGUCCAAGCCAAAUGCAUCUGCAAAGAUCUCAUCUGAUCGUUUUUCUAGGAUUUUAGAUCCUACUGUUACGGGAGUUGAACUUGUGCAGUUAAAAAAUUAUCAGUCUAGAACCAAGUCCAAUGCAGCUACAGCCUCAAUGGAUAAUGAUAAUGGAAAUAGUCUUUCAAAAGAUCCGUUGCUUUCAAUGGAUACCCCAUCUUCUCGCUCGUGGAACUCAUUGCCCUUUGACUCCCAAACUAGUGAAGAAAGUGGGAUUCAACAUUGCCGUUUGGGAGAAUGGGGUGACAUGUUAGAUCUGAUUUCUCGGAGAAAGACUGCUGCUCUUGCACCAGAACAUUUCGAAAAUAUUUGGACUAAAGGGAGAAAUUAUAGAAAGAAAGAAGAGAAAAAUCAGUUGAUCGAGCAAAUCCAAGAGAAACCUCCAGUGAAUAAGCCAGUUACAGUGGUUCAUUCAAAUGCAAAUUCGAAGCCCAAGAAAAUGAAUGGUGUAACCAAACUCAGUUCCUCUCAGAGUCAUGACGAUGAGCACAGCCUCAUACAUAUGGAGGAUGUUGAAUCAGGUGGUAGCUCUUAUACUUCUGAAGAGGAAGACACAGGAAAUGUAACAGGUCUUGAUUCUCCUGGAACCAAAGUUUGGGAUGGUAAAAGUAAAAGAAAUUUGUCUGUUUCUCACAUUCAUCAUCCACUUGAAAAUCCCAAGGGCCAUAUGAGAAAGAAGAAUGGUAGAAGUCAUCAUCAUUAUCAAGGAGUAACUGGGUCCCAUUCUAUAAGGAAAAGGUCAAGAUCAAGCAAUCAGAAUCUGCACGUAUGGCAAGAGGUUGAGAGAACAAGUUUUUUGUCGGGAGAUGGACAAGAUAUUCUAAAUUCUUUAAAAGAACGGACAAAAGUUGAGGAUUCUAGUGAUGAUUCUGAGACAGGAAGUUGGGAUAGACUUUAUAGUGGAGCAAUGACUUCAUCUUCUGCAGCGUCUUUGUCAAGAGCCGAAAGUCAUAGUUUGAGUGUUCAUUCCCUGCGAAGUUCUUUUGGGGAUUCAUUUUUUAAGUUGAGAUGUGAGGUAUUAGGUGCCAAUAUUGUGAAGAGUGGCUCUAGAACAUUUGCUGUUUAUUCCAUAUCUGUCACAGAUGUAAAUAAUAAUAGUUGGUCAAUCAAAAGAAGGUUUCGACAUUUUGAGGAAUUGCAUAGGCGUCUCAAAGAGUUUCCAGAGUAUCAUCUUCAUUUGCCACCGAAGCAUUUUCUCUCGACAGGCUUAGAUGUACCUGUCAUUCAAGAACGGUGUAAAUUGCUCGACAAGUAUUUGAAGGAACUCCUGCAGCAUCCUACUAUUUCAGGAACAUUUGAAGUUUGGGACUUUCUUAGUGUUGAUUCUCAGACUUAUGUGUUCUCAAGUUCAUUUUCUAUCGUCGAAACAUUGUCAGUUGACCUGGAUGAUAAACCAUCUGAAAAGGAUGAAACGUUUUCAAAUAUUGUUCGGCCUUUAAGUGGUUCAUUAUCCUCCACUAGGGAGCAGUUAGGGACCGAGUGCAACGAAGCUACAUUGCAGACAAAGAAUAAUUUUGUAACUGAUGGAAUAAGGUUGACGGCAAAAGACGUAUCUUUUUCUCCAGGAAAGAAGCCUGGUAAAGAAAGUGUAAAGUCAAUUGUGGAUUCCGAUGAUGAUGUGGAUAUUAGAACACAAAAGGACAGACCAUCAAUCAGAAACUCAGGGAAGAUUUUGGAAGGAAGAAAGAAUGGAGGCAAAGACGAGGCAUCAAUGUUGCCUAUUGAUGUUGCUAGUGACCAUGCCCUCCCUACAGAGUGGGUGCCACCCAAUAUAAGUGUCCCAAUUCUAGAUUUGGUCGAUGUCAUUUUUCAACUCCAGGAUGGUGGAUGGAUCAGGCGGAAGGCUUUCUGGGUUGCGAAACAGAUACUACAACUAGGAAUGGGAGAUGCCCUUGAUGAUUGGUUAAUAGAGAAAAUCCAACUGCUACGUAGGGGAUCAGUGGUCGCAUCAGGGAUCAAGCGCAUUGAGCAGAUACUGUGGCCUGAUGGGAUUUUCCUAACCAAGCAUCCAAAGCGACGACAGCCACAAAACUCACCACAGAAUUCACCUCAUGGUGGGCAACCAACAGGAAUGUCAUCACCUAGAUUGAGCGAAGAACAGCAACAGGAAGCAGAUCGCCGUGCGAAGUUUGUGUAUGAACUGAUGAUUGCCAAUGCCCCAGCUGCCGUUGUUGGUUUAGUCGGUCGUAAGGAGUAUGAACAAUGUGCGAAGGAUCUAUAUUUCUUUUUGCAGUCCUCAGUUUGUCUGAAGCAACUUGCUUUUGACCUUCUUGAGCUGCUGCUUUUGUCAGCUUUUCCGGAAAUGGAUUAUGUCUUUAAGCAGCUGCACGAAGAAAAGCAUAGAUUUGGUGAAUUUAGACCAAGGUGAUGAAUCUUGUCUCCAAAGACCAAUUUUGGAAUCAAAGACGGUUCUGGCAUUUUUUAAACCCUCAGGACUUCUCUCGGAGGUGUACUAAUUUCUACUUCUGUACUCUGUGCUUCAGUAGUGGCAUUACAAAUCCAAAUUGCCCAAUAUAGGCGCAUGAGAUAAAGGUAAACCAAUGGAGUUUGGGAGGUUCAAUACACACCAAACAAAUGUCAACUUCUGUUGUGAUUCAAGACAAAUCACAUCGAAAAUCCAUCGCAACUCACCAAUUGAGGCAUGUCAUCCUCGACAUCUGAAACCCCUGUAAACUGUAUUUACUUGACUUAUUCACCAAACAAUGAUCACAGGAUUUUCUGUUAUUACUAACACACAGCAACCACAUUCUUAACUACAGUAAAGAUGGAG